rnacentral:rRNA from 1 species
UACGUAGGGUGCGAGCGUUGUCCGGAAUUAUUGGGCGUAAAGAGCUCGUAGGCGGUUUGUCGCGUCGGCCGUGAAAACUUGGGGCUUAACCCCAAGCCUGCGGUCGAUACGGGCAGACUUGAGUUCGGCAGGGGAGACUGGAAUUCCUGGUGUAGCGGUGAAAUGCGCAGAUAUCAGGAAGAACACCCGUGGCUAAGGCGGCUCUCUAGUACGGUACUGACGCUGAGACGCGAAAGCGUGGGGAGCGAACAGG